AUGAACGCUAGCGGCAGGCUUAACACAUGCAAGUCGAGGGGCAGCGCGUUGUAGCAAUACAAUGGCGGCGACCGGCGCAAGGGUGCGUAACGCGUGAGCAAUCUGCCCGUAUCAGGGGGAUAAGCGAUGGAAACGUCGUCUAAUACCGCAUAACAACGUUGGAGGCAUCUCCGAUGUUUGAAAGCUUCGGUGGAUACGGAUGAGCUCGCGAGACAUUAGUUAGUUGGCGGGGUAACGGCCCACCAAGACCGCGAUGUCUAGGGGAACUGAGAGGUUGGUCCCCCCACACUGGAACUGAGACACGGUCCAGACUCCUACGGGAGGCAGCAGUGAGGAAUAUUGGACAAUGGCCGGAAGGCUGAUCCAGCCAUGCCGCGUGAAGGAUAAGGUCCUAUGGGUUGUAAACCGCUUUUUUGUGGGAGCAAUAAGUUGCACGUGUGCAAUGAUGAGAGUACCAUGAGAAUAAGCAUCGGCUAACUCCGUGCC
rnacentral:rRNA from 1 species